AUGGCGGGCGACAGGUGCGCGGGCGCGAUCGCGGGGUGCGAGCUGUGCGGGGGCGUCGCGGCGGUGCACUGCGCGGCGGACUCGGCUUUCCUCUGCGUGCCCUGCGACGCCAAGGUGCACGGCGCCAACUUCCUCGCCUCCAGGCACCUGCGGCGCCGGCUCGUUCACGCGGCCGCGGGCGAGGACGCCGGAUCCGCGGGCUCGGAGUCGGAGUCGUCGUCCAGCUCCUCCUGCGUGUCCACCGCCGACUCGUGCGCGGCCGCCUCCGCGGCGACGCGGGCGGCGGGGAGGAGGAGGGCCGGGUGCAAGCACCGGCGCGCGCGGGCGGAGGUGGUCCUCGAGGGGUGGGCCAAGCGGAUGGGCCUCGCGCCGGGAACGGCGCGCCGGCGGGCGGCCAGGGCCGCGGGCGCGCUCCGGGCGCUGGGCCGUGGCGUCUCCGCCUCCCGCGUAUCCCUCCGCGUCGCGAUGGCCGCCGCGCUCUGGUCGGAGGUCGCCGGAUCCGGCUGCGCGGAGGCCGCGCUGCUCCGCCGGCUGGAGGCAAGCUCGCACGUGCCGGCGAGGCUGGUGGUCACGGUGGCGUCGUGGAUGGCACGCACCGCGGUCCGGGCCCCCGCCCCUGCCCCCGCCGUGGAGGGCUGGGCCGAGUGCUCCUGA
rnacentral:rRNA from 1 species